UCGCUUUGGCAGCACAUAUACUAAAAUUGGAAUGAUACAGAGAAGAUUAGCAUGGCCCCUGUGCAAGGAUGACAUGCAAAUUCAUGAAGCAUUCCAUGUUUUU
rnacentral:snRNA from 1 species